UACGGAGGGGGCUAGCGUUGUUCGGAAUUACUGGGCGUAAAGCGCACGUAGGCGGCUUUGUAAGUCAGAGGUGAAAGCCCGGGGCUCAACCCCGGAAUAGCCUUUGAGACUGCAUCGCUUGAACAUCGGAGAGGUAAGUGGAAUUCCGAGUGUAGAGGUGAAAUUCGUAGAUAUUCGGAAGAACACCAGUGGCGAAGGCGACUUACUGGACACAUAUUGACGCUGAGGUGCGAAAGCGUGGGGAGCAAACAGG
rnacentral:rRNA from 1 species